rnacentral:lncRNA from 1 species
AGGAAAGCAUUCUGGGAAAUGUAGUUCCUGCUUCGCCUAGCGGGCUACAAAGAGCUGCACCGUCUGACAUUCAGAUGAUAAAUAGUUUGCACCUGAGCCAGGCUUGCGUUACUUCCGUGACUUCAGUCUUUGCUCUCCUACCCUCUCACUUACUAGCUGAGCGCUCUGGGGGAGGUUAUCUAACCUUCCUGAGCCUCGUAUUCCUCAUACCGAAAACGGAGGUAACCAGAGUAACUACAUCCAAAAAUUGAGAGAACUGAAUGAGAUAAAUAAGGCGAGGUGUUUUUAACACGUCCUGCACAUGAAGACAAUACCAUGAUCAUGAAAUCACUGGAGAAAUCUGCCGGGGAAGGGCUGUGAGGAUAGUCUCAUCUGUAACGCAUGUGUCCUCCAGAAAAAAAGUAUAUGGCUUUCAGACUAAAUUUUACUCCUUAUCCAAAUGGAAAGAAUAUCUAAAGAGACAAAGUGUAAUAAUCCAAGAAUCUUCUAUUGUGAGAAUAAUGGAGAUUGACAUUGUGAAGUAUAUAGAAAAACAUAAAAGCAUGGCUUUUGCCAAGUGGUGCCAUGUCCGAACCCAGGAUCCCAACCAGCGAACCCCGAGCCAACGAAGCAGAGCGUGCACACUUAACUGCUGCGCCACCAGGCCGGCCCCAGUGUCUGAAACUCUUAACUGUAUAUGUUUAACACAUUUUUAAGUAAGAAAUUUUCAUACUGACUCUCUCUGUAAGCCUUGCUUUACUGAGUAGAAUUGAUUUUUAAGUUACUUCUGCUUAUACAUAUGGCACCAGAGACCAAAUGCUUAUAUAGUGUAACUAUUUACUCACUGACCAAAAUGACUUUUACUGUUAAAGUACCUCUUGGUUUACUAUAGUCUACAUGUUAUUUAGUCAUCCUUAACGUCCAGGGGGUCAUGCCAGGUGUCUGGUAAAGGGAAGGAGUGGGAGAGAGACAGGCACAAAACAGCCAUGCCGAUGGG